rfam:Betaproteobacteria bacterium RIFCSPLOWO2_02_64_14 rifcsplowo2_02_sub10_scaffold_2203, whole genome shotgun sequence.
CGGGGGUACGGCAGGCCUCCCCGCUGCCUUCAAGACGCUUCGCGUCCAAGCGCCGC